rnacentral:rRNA from 1 species
UACGUAGGGGGCGAGCGUUGUCCGGAUUUAUUGGGCGUAAAGAGCGUGUAGGCGGCCAGGUAGGUCUGGUGUGAAAACUCGAGGCUUAACCUCGAGAUGUCAUCGGAAACCAUUUGGCUAGAGUCCGGAAGAGGAGAGUGGAAUUCCUGGUGUAGCGGUGAAAUGCGCAGAUAUCAGGAAGAACACCAAUGGCGAAAGCAGCUCUCUGGGACGGUACUGACGCUGAGACGCGAAAGCGUGGGGAGCGAACAGG